GGGGAUGUAUCAGGCAUCGCCUAGAAGAAGAAACUGUUAAAUCAAGCAGACCUGACAUAAGUCUUUAAACUGGGUCAAAGUUAAGUGCAAAACAAUUUGCAAAUGCUGACGUAGAAUACGCUUAUGUGUAAAACUACAAACGGAAUUAUCCUUAUCAGCUGUUCGGCAGACGUGGUCUCUUGGUAACACAUGCCGGGCAAAACCUUACCAAGAAAAUCAUUACUAGCGUGCGCAACAAGGUUUGAGGUUUUACCGCACACGCCGUAACUAAAACUUAUAUGCUUGUAAAAUUUUAACCGUAGAAACUUUUAGCACGGGGGUUCGACUCCCCCCAUCUCCACCA
rnacentral:tmRNA from 1 species